AUGUAUAUUGUUUUGGGAGUUAUUUCAAUAAUGAUUUCUUUAAUGAGUUAUUUCAAUUAAUAAAACUAUUAAUUUUUCCUUCCAUAUUUUUUCCCUUUUGUAAUUUUUUUUUUUUAAACUUUUGGAUGUUUCUUAUAUUACAUAACUUCAUUUUGCACUCUCUCAGAUUCCUUUUAACAUACAGAAAAUGGUAAAUGAACAAUUGGUAUCAUACUUCAAGAUGUGGUUGUUAGAGUACUUGUGAGUGUGUGAGUGAGUAUGUAUGAGCACUUGAGAGAGAGAAGGGCUAAAGAGAGAGGGAGAGAGGAAAGUAGUAUCUGUUUUCCUUUUUUUUUUUUUCUAAGGUUUGAAGAUAUUGCUGUUGUUAUUCACACUAGUUUUAGUGUUCUCUUGUGUAUCUAACCUAUCGGGUAAGCAGUGUCAUUUAGUAUGAUUAGUUAAUGUAACAUCUACUGAUAGGUAAAAUAUAUAGAUUAGUAUGUCUGUAUGUGUAUAUAAUAUUAAUGUUUGUUUUUAUGUUCAGAUCUAAUAAAAGCAGUUCUACAUUAAUAUGAUAGGUUAGCCUAUACUUUAGAAGAGUGUAAAUUUAAUAUCCUUUUACAAAAAUGUUGUUGACAGUGACUUUGAAACUUUGGCCAACUAUGUGUGUAUCUCUAUCUUGUCUCUCUGCUUUAUUUCCUGGUAUAUUUAAAGAUGAUUAUAAAUCAAAAUAUAAAUAAGCAUCUCAUUAUUCUUUGUUAGAUGGAAGUAGUGGAGCUAAAGGAAUAUUUUGCUAUCGUUUUACAUACUCUUUCCCAUGCUGCUAUAAAUUGGUCAUGACUUUUGAUUUCAUUUUUUA